rnacentral:rRNA from 1 species
UACAGAGGUCCCGAGCGUUGUUCGGAUUCACUGGGCGUAAAGGGUGCGUAGGUGGCAUGGUAAGUUUGAUGUGAAAGCUCAGGCUCAACCCUGAAAUGGCAUUGAAUACUACUGUGCUGGAGGAUCGGAGGGGGGACUGGAAUUCUUGGUGUAGCAGUGAAAUGCGUAGAUAUCAAGAGGAACACCAGUGGCGAAGCGAGUCCCUGGACGAUACCUGACACUGAGGCACGAAAAGCUAGGGGGAGCAAAACAGG